rnacentral:lncRNA from 1 species
GAAACGGUGACUGAAAAGAGAUGGAAAAAGGAAAGGGAAGAUGACACUCAGCCUGCUAAACGGCCUACAUUCGUAACAUUCACACACAGCUGUGAUGACUCGGAAAGCAGUACUCAAUUCUCGGGACCAGAUUCUCAACCAUAACAGUGCAGAAGUGAAGGGUAAAGUGAAGGGAAGGCGAGGAAAUGGUCUCUGGCAGCAAAAGGCCAACUGUCUAUCAAGCAGUAAGAGAAGUCCUUGGGCAGAGCCAGGUUCCCAAGUGAAGAGCACCCUUACGUGUGGUGACCAAUCA